rnacentral:tRNA from 1 species
AAGACUCUAGUAAAACAGAAAAUUAUAUUGCUUUGUCAAAGCAAUGUUGUGGGUUUAAACCCCACGUGUCUUG